UACGAAGGGGGCUAGCGUUGCUCGGAAUGACUGGGCGUAAAGGGCGCGUAGGCGGUAUGGACAGUCAGGUGUGAAAUUCCCGGGCUUAACCUGGGGACUGCAUUUGAUACGUUCAAACUAGAGUGUGGAAGAGGGUCGUGGAAUUCCCAGUGUAGAGGUGAAAUUCGUAGAUAUUGGGAAGAACACCGGUGGCGAAGGCGGCGACCUGGUCCAUUACUGACGCUGAGGCGCGAAAGCGUGGGGAGCAAACAGG
rnacentral:rRNA from 2 species